rnacentral:lncRNA from 1 species
UUAAUUUUUUAGUAAAACUGAAAUUUUUAUUUGGGUUAAUUGCAUAAAGAUCCCCGCAAACAUAAUAAAUUGCAAAUAUAUCUCUAUAAAGUUUAAUUUUUAUAAAUUAUUCCUGCAAAAGUUCUGAUAUUUUCAGAUAUGUCCCUCUGAUUUAUUACAGUUAGAAAACCGCUAGAAAACUGUUUAUAUUUGCGGUAACUUGUAUGCAAUUGU